AACGAACGCUGGCGGCAGGCUUAACACAUGCAAGUCGAACGCAUGCCUUCGGGCAUGAGUGGUGGACGGGGGAGUAACGCGGGGUAACCUACCCCUUGGUACGGGAUAGCUCCGGGAAACGGGAGAUAAUACAGUAUGUUUCCGGAGGGACAAAGAUGCGUCGCGAAGGGAUGGGGCCGCGUCGGAUUCGCUGGUUGGUGGGGUGACGGCCUACGAAGGCGACGAUCCGUAGAUGGUCUAAGAGGAUGAUCCGACACACUGGCACUGGGACACAGCCCGAACUCCUGCGCGAGGCAGCAGUGCGGAAUCCUGGACAAUCGGCGGCAGCCUGAACCAGCCCUGGCGCGUGAGUGAUGAAGGACGUAGGGUUGUAAAGCUCUUUCAUCGGUGACGCUCAUGACGGUACCCGGAGAAGAAGCCCCGGCUAACUUCGUG
rnacentral:rRNA from 1 species